rnacentral:rRNA from 1 species
AACAAGGUUUCCGUAGGUGAACCUGCGGAAGGAUCAUUGUCGAAAUCGAACGAAAGAACGACCCGCGAAUCGUUGUCCCGCUACUCGAGGAUAUCGUCGUGCCGGCGGCGGCCUCCCCCGGGGACCCCGUCGCGCCGGCGAACAACCAACCCAGCACGAACCGUGCCAAGGACCAUAACGGAGAGGAUCGUCGGCCCGAGCCCCCGGCCUUACGUCUACGGCGGGGCGGGGGACGGGCGCGAUCUCUUUUUCACGUCUUAAUGACUCUCGGCAACGGAUAUCUCGGCUCUUGCAUCGAUGAAGAACGUAGCGAAAUGCGAUACUUGGUGUGAAUUGCAGAAUCCCGCGAACCAUCAAUUCUUUGAACGCAAGUUGCGCCCGAAGCCAUUCGGCCGAGGGCACGCCUGCCUGGGUGUCGUGAUACCUCUUGCCCUUGGGCGCCCGCACGAGAUUCGGCGGGGACGCAAGCCCGGGCGCAGAAGAUGGCCUCCCGUAGGACGGGCGCGCGAGUCGCGCCCGCGCGCGGUUGGCCAAUAAGAGCAUCGUGGCGACGGGCUCCACGGCGUAAGGUGGAUCGUUUUCCGAUUGGCUUCGUCGUGGGCUCGGCAACGCGUCCGGCUCCGGGCUACAACUCGAGUUCCCGAGUGCGAUCCCAGGUCAGGCGGGGCUACCCGCUGAGUUUAAGCAUAUCAAUAAGCGGAGGAAAAGAAACUAACCAGGAUUCCCUUAGUAGCGGCGAGCGAACCGGGAGGAGCCCAGCGUGAGAAUCGUCCGCCUUCGGCGGCCGAAUUGUAGUCUGGAGAAGCGUCCUCAGUGACGGACCGGGCCCAAGUUCACUGGAAGGUGGCGCCGGAGAGGGUGAGAGCCCCGUCGUGCCCGGACCCUGU